rnacentral:rRNA from 1 species
ACAGCAGCAGCCACGGUAAUACGGAGGGGGCUAGCGUUGUUCGGAAUUACUGGGCGUAAAGCGCACGUAGGCGGCUUGGUAAGUUAGAGGUGAAAGCCCGGAGCUCAACUCCGGAAUUGCCUUUAAGACUGCCGAGCUAGCAGGUGAGAGAGGUAAGUGGAAUUCCGAGUGUAGAGGUGAAAUUCGUAGAUAUUCGGAAGAACACCAGUGGCGAAGGCGGCUUACUGGCUCAUACUGGACGCUGAGGUGCGAAAGCGUGGGGAGCAAACAGGAUUAGAUACCCGUGUAGUCCCUGUCUCUUAUAC